GGCUGGUUUCAGUGCAGUGGGGUUUAGAACUAAUUGAUCACAACCAGUAUAGAUUUCUGUAUUCUUUUUCCAGUCUCACUGGUUCACUUAGCUAGCCUUUC
ensembl:misc_RNA Y_RNA Y RNA